GAACGGGUGAGUAACACGUGGGUAAUCAACCCUCGACACUGGGAUAGCCCGGGGAAACCCGGAUUAAUACCGGAUACCCCAUCUGGCCUUCGGGCCGGCUGGAAAAGGUAGCUUUGGCCUCCGGUCGAGGACGAGCCCGCGGCGGAUUAGCUUGUUGGCGGGGUAAAAGCCCACCAAGGCGACGAUCCGUAGCUGGUCUGAGAGGACGAUCAGCCACACUGGGACUGAGACACGGCCCAGACUCCUACGGGAGGCAGCAGUGGGGAAUCUUGCGCAAUGGGCGAAAGCCUGACGCAGCGACGCCGCGUGAGGGAAGAAGGCCUUCGGGUUGUAAACCUCUUUCAGGAGGGACGAAGCCACUCGGGUUAAUAGCCCAGAGGGUGACGGUACCUCCAGAAGAAGCCCCGGUAACUACGUGCCAGCCGCCGCGG
rnacentral:rRNA from 1 species